GGCUAUCGAAGGAAGUGACCUUAAUUCAUAGCUC
rnacentral:ncRNA from 1 species